CACACAUGAGGAGGUGAAUCUGUCACAGUCAGCCUUUUGUUUACGUCAUCGACAUCACCGUCAUUUACUCCAUGUUGUACGAGUAGUUGGAUCACCAGAAUAAAGCGGAAGUAAAGAACCUGCAUCCGGACUCAGGCGUUCAUUUUAUUGGAGUUGGGCUUACUGCUAAAUUGUGUUGGUAAACACACAAGGAGAGCAGAAAAAUGUGAAACAUUUAAGAGGAAUUCAAGAGAGGCCUGUCUUCCGCCACUUGUGGGACAUUCCAAGGAAGUCAGAAUCAGAGGACACUGGGCACUUAAUCUCUCCAACUGGGCCAGCACCUGUUGGGAAAUCACAGCAUCAGAGGGAAACGUCCAAAUCAGUGGUUGCUCUUGUGCUAUCAACUGAUGAAGGUUCAGUUAUCUCUCUUAGUGAUAAAAUGAAGAUGAAUUAUGGCAUUCAUUAAAAUUUUAUUUCUAUCAAUAUAUUAGGAAUAAAUACUCAGGAUUUUACUUUGGUUAUAUUUACUUUAAAUUUUUAAAAUAUAGGGUCGGUUUUUAAAGAUAGAACAGUUUUGAAUGCAUCUACUUCUCAAUCUUCACAUUAGGUAUUUCACUUGUAGUCCUGUGACAAUCUUAAAAGUAAACAUCAGGCUUUCCUGCAAACUUAACGCAAAAGAGUUGCUUCAGUUUCCAUCUGAUGCAAAUAAUACCAGAUCAUUCAUGUAAGAACAGGACACAUAAUACAGUCUACGGGGUUGGACUGACGCCCAGCUGUUCAAGAGGUGAUCAUAUGCUGAAAAGAGCCCUGAAUGAUGGUGAGCAGGAACAUAAAUCACCAGGAAGGUCACUACAGUUGGUGUUUGUGUCAUGCUGUGGUGAAGACAUUCAGAUUUUUGCCAUAGCUGCUAUGGAGAACUUGUUCUUAUACAUGUUGCUGUUAGUAUUUAGUUUACACUUGGGUCUAAAAUCUGUUUGACUCUCAUGAAUUGUGUUCUGCCCAUAAACACUUCUGUUUUUUGUUUUUUUUGUUUGUUUUUUUUAAUCAAUCCGACAUCAUGAAAGUUAAGUUAGAACUGACCUAAAGUAAUUAUAUGAAAAGUUUUAACAAGCCUUGGUCAUUUCAAACAGUGCAAGCUAUGAUCAAUGUUCAUGUCUUUGGCUUUGAAAAUUAAAUGUGUUAUGGUAUUAAAAUGUCACAUGGG